GGUCAAGUGAAUAAGUGCAUCAGGCGGAUGCCUUGGCGAUGAUAGGCGACGAAGGACGUGUAAGCCUGCGAAAAGCGCGGGGGAGCUGGCAAUAAAGCUAUGAUUCCGCGAUGUCCGAAUGGGGAAACCCACUGCAUUCUGUGCAGUAUCCUAAGUUGAAUACAUAGGCUUAGAGAAGCGAACCCGGAGAACUGAACCAUCUAAGUACCCGGAGGAAAAGAAAUCAACCGAGAUUCCGCAAGUAGUGGCGAGCGAACGCGGAGGAGUCUGUACGUAAUAACUGUCGAGAUAGAAGAACAAGCUGGGAAGCUUGACCAUAGCGGGUGACAGUCCCGUAUUCGAAAUCUCAACAGCGGUACUAAGCGUACGAAAAGUAGGGCGGGACACGUGAAAUCCUGUCUGAAUAUGGGGGGACCAUCCUCCAAGGCUAAAUACUCAUCAUCGACCGAUAGUGAACCAGUACCGUGAGGGAAAGGCGAAAAGAACCCCGGGAGGGGAGUGAAACAGAACCUGAAACCUGAUGCAUACAAACAGUGGGAGCGCCCUAGUGGUGUGACUGCGUACCUUUUGUAUAAUGGGUCAACGACUUACAUUCAGUAGCGAGCUUAACCGGAUAGGGGAGGCGUAGGGAAACCGAGUCUUAAUAGGGCGAUGAGUUGCUGGGUGUAGACCCGAAACCGAGUGAUCUAUCCAUGGCCAGGUUGAAGGUGCCGUAACAGGUACUGGAGGACCGAACCCACGCAUGUUGCAAAAUGCGGGGAUGAGCUGUGGGUAGGGGUGAAAGGCUAAACAAACUCGGAGAUAGCUGGUUCUCCCCGAAAACUAUUUAGGUAGUGCCUCGAGCAAGACACUGAUGGGGGUAAAGCACUGUUAUGGCUAGGGGGUUAUUGCAACUUACCAACCCAUGGCAAACUCAGAAUACCAUCAAGUGGUUCCUCGGGAGACAGACAGCGGGUGCUAACGUCCGUUGUCAAGAGGGAAACAACCCAGACCGCCGGCUAAGGUCCCAAAUGAUAGAUUAAGUGGUAAACGAAGUGGGAAGGCACAGACAGCCAGGAUGUUGGCUUAGAAGCAGCCAUCAUUUAAAGAAAGCGUAAUAGCUCACUGGUCGAGUCGUCCUGCGCGGAAGAUGUAACGGGGCUCAAAUCUAUAACCGAAGCUGCGGAUGCCGGUUUACCGGCAUGGUAGGGGAGCGUUCUGUAGGCUGAUGAAGGUGCAUUGUAAAGUGUGCUGGAGGUAUCAGAAGUGCGAAUGUUGACAUGAGUAGCGAUAAAGCGGGUGAAAAGCCCGCUCGCCGAAAGCCCAAGGUUUCCUACGCAACGUUCAUCGGCGUAGGGUGAGUCGGCCCCUAAGGCGAGGCAGAAAUGCGUAGUCGAUGGGAAACAGGUUAAUAUUCCUGUACUUGAUUCAAAUGCGAUGUGGGGACGGAGAAGGUUAGGUUGGCAAGCUGUUGGAAUAGCUUGUUUAAGCCGGUAGGUGGAAGACUUAGGCAAAUCCGGGUUUUCUUAACACCGAGAAGUGAUGACGAGUGUCUACGGACACGAAGCAACCGAUACCACGCUUCCAGGAAAAGCCACUAAGCUUCAGUUUGAAUCGAACCGUACCGCAAACCGACACAGGUGGGCAGGAUGAGAAUUCUAAGGCGCUUGAGAGAACUCGGGAGAAGGAACUCGGCAAAUUGAUACCGUAACUUCGGGAGAAGGUAUGCCCUCUAAGGUUAAGGACUUGCUCCGUAAGCCCCGGAGGGUCGCAGAGAAUAGGUGGCUGCGACUGUUUAUUAAAAACACAGCACUCUGCCAACACGAAAGUGGACGUAUAGGGUGUGACGCCUGCCCGGUGCCGGAAGGUUAAUUGAAGAUGUGCAAGCAUCGGAUCGAAGCCCCGGUAAACGGCGGCCGUAACUAUAACGGUCCUAAGGUAGCGAAAUUCCUUGUCGGGUAAGUUCCGACCCGCACGAAUGGCGUAACGAUGGCCACACUGUCUCCUCCCGAGACUCAGCGAAGUUGAAGUGGUUGUGAAGAUGCAAUCUACCCGCUGCUAGACGGAAAGACCCCGUGAACCUUUACUGUAGCUUUGCAUUGGACUUUGAAGUCACUUGUGUAGGAUAGGUGGGAGGCUUGGAAGCAGAGACGCCAGUCUCUGUGGAGUCGUCCUUGAAAUACCACCCUGGUGUCUUUGAGGUUCUAACCCAGACCCGUCAUCCGGGUCGGGGACCGUGCAUGGUAGGCAGUUUGACUGGGGCGGUCUCCUCCCAAAGCGUAACGGAGGAGUUCGAAGGUUACCUAGGUCCGGUCGGAAAUCGGACUGAUAGUGCAAUGGCAAAAGGUAGCUUAACUGCGAGACCGACAAGUCGGGCAGGUGCGAAAGCAGGACAUAGUGAUCCGGUGGUUCUGUAUGGAAGGGCCAUCGCUCAACGGAUAAAAGGUACUCCGGGGAUAACAGGCUGAUUCCGCCCAAGAGUUCAUAUCGACGGCGGAGUUUGGCACCUCGAUGUCGGCUCAUCACAUCCUGGGGCUGUAGUCGGUCCCAAGGGUAUGGCUGUUCGCCAUUUAAAGUGGUACGUGAGCUGGGUUUAAAACGUCGUGAGACAGUUUGGUCCCUAUCUGCAGUGGGCGUUGGAAGUUUGACGGGGGCUGCUCCUAGUACGAGAGGACCGGAGUGGACGAACCUCUGGUGUACCGGUUGUAACGCCAGUUGCAUAGCCGGGUAGCUAAGUUCGGAAGAGAUAAGCGCUGAAAGCAUCUAAGCGCGAAACUCGCCUGAAGAUGAGACUUCCCUUGCGGUUUAACCGCACUAAAGGGUCGUUCGAGACCAGGACGUUGAUAGGUGGGGUGUGGAAGCGCGGUAACGCGUGAAGCUAACCCAUACUAAUUGCCCGUGAGGCUUGACUCU
rnacentral:rRNA from 1 species